ensembl:lncRNA
AUGGCACGCGAGAUGGAGAGACUGAGGGAGGAGAACGAGGCCUUAGAGCGGCGGGCACGGAGCCUGGAGGGCAAACUGCUGCAGGAGAGAGAGGACAAGGAGAGGAGAGUAAGAGAGAAAGAGAGGCAGGAGAGAGAGAGGAGGAGUUGUGCCGGAGAGAACGAGGGAGGAAGGGGAGAGACGGCGAGGAGAGAGAGAGAGAGGCCAAAGGAAAGAAGGGAGAGAGGAGAAGGGGAGAGAGGUCAGAGAGAGGAGAUAGGGACAGACAGCCGGGAUGAUGAGAGCGCCUCCUCCAAGUCCAGCUCCCCCAGCAGACAGACGAUCAACCUCAUUGCCAGACACACAGCGUACGUGAAGUCCAGGCUGCCUGUCUUGGCCCGCUUCAGCAGACAGGCCGAGAGGCCGGGAGUGGACCACCCGGUGUGUGAUGGGGGUCCAGACUCGCCCUACCCAGCACAGAGGAACCUCCUGGGGGCUGAGGACCAGCCAGCGUCCCCUAGAUCGUCCCAGCAAAGCAGCCCAGGGACCACGAGCUCCAGACGCAGCCCUGUGCGCUCUGAGCGGACCCUGGGCACGGAUGGAGAUGUGGUCGUGACCCUCGAGCUGGAGACUCAGCUGGAGCUUCUUCAGCAGGAGUGCCAGGAGAGGGAGGGGCUUCUGCAGCGGAAGGCGGAGCAGUGGGAGGAUCUGCAGGCGGAGCUUCAGGAGAAGGACCGGCUCCUGCGUGAAUACCUGCAGGCGUUGAAGGCGGCGGAGUCCACCAUCGCCUACCUCACGGCCUGCAGCCUGGACUCCCAAACUGGUGUGGCUACGAGCGGCCGGGCUCAGGGCUCAGACCUGGAUCCUGAGCCUCUGGGGCUGAGCGCCAGGCUGCAGGAGUGUGUGAGGAGAGCCGAGGAGGCCAUUGCGGCCCUGGCUCAAUGCGAGCCGGAUGCCACAUAUUCUCACGCUCCCGAGCUGUUGGCCCGGCUGGAGGAGCUCCAGGAGGAGGUGCAGGCGCUCCGAGACCCCCAGCAGGUGCAGCGGCAGGCGGACGCCAUCCAGGAGGCAUUGUGGGAGCAGAGCCGACUCAACGCCGAGCUGCAGGAGCGCCUCAGGGCUGCCGAGGCCCAGGUGAAGGCCUAUGCUAACGCUAAAACCGACCAUAGCCCCACUGCUGUUGAUGCCGCUCUUAGCACUGAUGCUAACAAUGCUAAAGUAGCUGACUAUAAGCACAGAAGUCCUGCCAAAACCAAAUCCAGUAGCAGUGUUAACGAAGCUAGCAUGACUGUUGUGAGUCCCUCACUCAGUCCUGAUUUGUCUAGCGCCUCUGUUGGCCAGGGGGGGAGCCGCCACAGCAGCAGCAGUAGCCAAAUAGAAGGGGAAGGAUUGCAGAGUGUGAAGACUCGCAAGGUCCUUCCCAAAAUGGCCGACCUGCGUGGCAAUGCACAGAGAGAGGAGUGUUUGCGUGAGUGUGUGCGGGCUGUGGAGGGCGCAGUGGAGGCUCUUGUUGCCUGCUGUUCCCGUCCUGACCCCGAUGACCUUUCUGACCCCCGUCGUGCCUCUGACCAUGCAAGCACCUCUCUCAACGCCACGCUUAUGCAGCAGAUGAACCGUCUUCUUCACGUGCUGCAUCAGAAGAGCAGGUUAGAUGGACUCGCUCCUACUCACACCUCCACACCCAAGGUCCAUCCAAACCCCGCGCUGAUGCUGAUCACCCCGCCUCCUGAGAGAUUCAGCGUCCAGAUUACGGCAGAAAGUGGAUCAACACCCAGCCCGGUCCUACACACCCAGCAGAGUCCCUCAAAGUCCAAACCCCAUUCCAGCUCGGCCUCUAAGAACCAGCAAAGUCCAACCAAAACCCGGUCCCAGUCCAGCCCGGCCCAUCAGAGCAAGCAGAAUCCAGUGAAAUCCAAAUCUCAUCCUAGCCUGGCCCCUCAGGACCUGCAUCACAACCUGCUGCUCCUGCUGCAGCUCUUCGGGGAGCGUGCCCAGAGAGUGAGCGUGUUAGAGGAGCAGCUCGCCAGCCUGCAGGACAGGCUACAGAUCUCACAGGCUGGCAGACACAGAGCGCCCCCUGCUGCAGCAGAGGAGCGGGCGCAGGACCAGGGCUAUGAGACCAGCGGGCGCAGCGAGCCGGAGGCCAGUAGCACAGACGUGGAUGUGGUGCUGGACACUGCCUCCAGCCCCUCCUACCCCAGCUCACCCGGCCUCAGCCUGACCCCGCGACCCCCGGCUGACCUCUGUGACCCCGACGCUGACCCCACCCUGAUCCGGCAGCAGCUGGCCCAGCUGCGCGCUCAGGUGGAGGGUCAGCAGAAGGUCAUCCAGCACCUGCAGACAGGCCACCGGAGGUCAUCACUCUCCGUUGAACUGCUGACCGCCGCCUCUGGGGCAGAUGGCGAGCGCGCGGAGAAGGGCGAGAGACGAGGGAGGAGGGAGCAGAAGUCCUGCCUGGGCUCUGGAGAGCUGGGGAAGGACCGAACACUGAACAGAAGCCUCUGCCAGUCUGCCUCUCCCUCCAGGUUGGCGCGUUAUGCCUUAUCACAUGUUGCUUUUGAUUGA